UAAUCGCGGAUCAGCAUGCCGCGGUGAAUACGUUCCCGGGCCUUGUACACACCGCCCGUCACACCACGAGAGUUUGUAACACCCGAAGUCGGUGAGGUAACCUUUUAGGAGCCAGCCGCCGAAGGUGGGACAGAUGAUUGGGGUGAAGUCGUAACAAGGUAGCCGUAUCGGAAGGUGCGGCUGGAUCACCUCCUUUCUAAGGAUUUUAACGGAAUAUAAGACCUUGGGUCUUAUAAACAGAACGUUCCCUGUCUUGUUUAGUUUUGAAGGAUCAUUCGAUUCUUCGAGAUAUUGUUCUUUGAAAACUAGAUAACAGAAGUAAUUCACAUUCARUUAGUAAUGCAAGAUAUCACGUAGUGAUUCUUUUUARCGGUUAASUUACGAWRGGGCGCACGGGCGGAUGCCUUGGGCCCGGGAA
rnacentral:misc_RNA from 1 species